rnacentral:rRNA from 1 species
CAGAGGUGGCAAGCGUUGUUCGGAAUUACUGGGCGUAAAGGGCGCGUAGGCGGCCAUCUAAGUCAGACGUGAAAUCCCCCGGCUUAACCUGGGAACUGCGUCUGAUACUGGAAGGCUCGAGUUUGGGAGAGGGAUGUGGAAUUCCAGGUGUAGCGGUGAAAUGCGUAGAUAUCUGGAGGAACACCGGUGGCGAAGGCGGCAUCCUGGACCAACACUGACGCUGAGGCGCGAAAGCUAGGGGAGCAAACGGGAUUAGAUACCCCGGUAGUCCUAGCCCUAAACGAUGAAUGCUUGGUGUGGCGGGUAUCGAUCCCUGCCGUGCCGAAGCUAACGCAUUAAGCAUUCCGCCUGGGGAGUACGGUCGCAAGGCUG